GACGAACGCUGGCGGCGUGCUUAACACAUGCAAGUGGAGCGACGAACCGGGGCUUGCCCCGGGGCAGAGCCACGAACGGGUGAGUAACACGUGGGUAACCUGCCUCAAUGAUUGGGACAACCCGGGGAAACUCGGGCUAAUACCAAAUGUGUUCACUCCUUCUAAGGGGAGUGAGGAAAGGAAGCUUCGGCCUCCGCAUUGAGAUGGGCCCGCGGCCCAUUAGCUUGUUGGUGAGGUAACGGCUCACCAAGGCUUCGAUGGGUAGCUGGUCUGAGAGGACGAUCAGCCACACUGGGACUGAGACACGGCCCAGACUCCUACGGAGGCAGCAGUGGGGAAUCUUGCACAAUGCGCGAAAGCGUGAUGCAGCAACGCCGCGU
rnacentral:rRNA from 1 species